rnacentral:rRNA from 1 species
GACGAACGCUGGCGGCGUGCUUAACACAUGCAAGUCGAACGGAAAGGCCCUGCUUGCAGGGUACUCGAGUGGCGAACGGGUGAGUAACACGUGGGUGAUCUGCCCUGCACUUCGGGAUAAGCCUGGGAAACUGGGUCUAAUACCGGAUAGGAGCCAUUUUUAGUGUGAUGGUUGGAAAGUUUUUUCGGUGUAGGAUGAGCUCGCGGCCUAUCAGCUUGUUGGUGGGGUAAUGGCCUACCAAGGCGGCGACGGGUAGCCGGCCUGAGAGGGUGGACGGCCACAUUGGGACGGAGAUACGGCCCAGACUCCUACGGGGGGCAGCAGUGGGGAAUAUGGCACAAUGGGCGCAAGCCUGAUGCAGCGACGCCGCGUGGGGGAUGACGGCCUUCGGGUGGUAAACUCCUUUCGCUAGGGACGAAGCUUUUUGUGGCGGUACCUAGAUAAGAAGCACCGGCUAACUACG